GACAGAGGUCCCGAGCGUUGUUCGGAUUCAUUGGGCGUAAAGCGCGUGUAGGCGGCUUUGCAAGUCGGGUGUGAAAGCCCUCAGCUUAACUGAGGAAGUGCGCCCGAAACUGCAUGGCUUGAGUACCGGAGAGGAUGGUGGAAUUCCCCAAGUAGAGGUGAAAUUCGUAGAUAUGGGGAGGAACACCGGUGGCGAAGGCGACCAUCUGGACGGAUACUGACGCUGAGACGCGAAAGCGUGGGUAGCAAACAGG
rnacentral:rRNA from 1 species